rnacentral:rRNA from 1 species
GAUGAACGCUAGCGAUAGGCUUAACACAUGCAAGUCGAGGGGCAGCAUGGUCUUAGCUUGCUAAGACUGAUGGCGACCGGCGCACGGGUGCGUAACGCGUAUGCAACUUGCCUCACAGAGGGUGAUAACCCGUCGAAAGACGGACUAAUACCGCGUACACUCUAUUUUGGGCAUCCAAGGUAGAGGAAAUGAAAUUCGCUGUGAGAUAGGCAUGCGUCCCAUUAGCUAGUUGGUGAGGUAGCGGCUCACCAAGGCGACGAUGGGUAGGGGAACUGAGAGGUUGAACCCCCACACUGGUACUGAGACACGGACCAGACUCCUACGGGAGGCAGCAGUGAGGAAUAUUGGUCAAUGGGCGAGAGCCUGAACCAGCCAAGUCGCGUGAAGGAUGACUGUCUUAUGGAUUGUAAACUUCUUUUGUAGGGGAAUAACGAGGGGCACGUGUGCCCCAGUGAAUGUACCCUACGAAUAAGCAUCGGCUAACUCCGUG